rnacentral:rRNA from 1 species
CUCCUCAAUGAAUAUUUAAAUAGCUGCAGUAUAAAUAACUGUACAAAGGUAGCAUAAUAAUUUGUUUGUUAAUUGAAAACUAGAAUGAAUGAUUUAAUGAAAUAUAAACUGUAUCAAAUUUAAAUAAUAAAUUUAUUAUUUAAAUAAAAAAAUUUAAAUAAUUUUUAAAGACGAGAAGACCCUAAGAAUUUUAAUAAUAAUUUAUUUAAUUAUAUUAAUUGGGGAAAUUUUAAAAUUUUAAAAAUUUUUAAUUAAAAAAACAUAUAUUUUUGAAUAUUUAUUAUUUUUUAAAAAAAUAAAUUUAUUACCUUAGGGAUAACAGC